GACGGGGCCCGCACAAGCGGUGAGUAUGUGGUUUAAUUCGACGCAACGCGCAGAACCUUUACCUGGUCUUGACAUCCCGAGAAUUUUCUGGAAACAGAGAAGUGCCUCGCAAGAGGAAUUCGGUGACAGGUGCUGCAUGGCUGUCGUCAGCUCGUGUCGUGAGAUGUUGGGUUAAGUCCCGCAACGAGCGCAACCCUUGUCUUUAGUUGCCAUCAUUAAGUUGGGCACUCUAAAGAGACUGCCGGUGUCAAACCGGAGGAAAGGUGGGGAUGACGUCAAGUCCUCAUGGCCUUUAUGACCAGGGCUACACACGUACUACAAUGGCAGGUACAAAGGGCAGCCACUUAGCGAUAAGGCGCGAAUCCCGUAAAACCUGUCUCAGUCCGGAUUGGAGUCUGCAACUCGACUCCAUGAAGUUGGAAUCGCUAGUAAUCGCAGAUCAGCACGCUGCGGUGAAUACGUUCCCGGGCCUU
rnacentral:rRNA from 1 species